GUGCCCGGUACCCGGUACUCGGUACCCAGCCGCUAUCGCAGCCGUGCGGCUCCGCGGAGCGCUCCUUGCUGCCGGCUCGGUGAGGCCCGACCGGAGCUACCGCGGCAGAGGAGCGGGGUGAGCAGCCGGUGGGCCCCGCGGUGAGGCGGAGGACGUUAACCGGAGGCGGCGAGGGACACAGAAGCUGAAGCAUGGAGAUGCAUUUGUUGCCAUUGAAGAUCCUUCCUCAAAAAGCUGUGUGACUCUGUAUGUGUUACAUAAUACGAUCUUAGAAGUGAGGUUUUGGGCAGCAAUAAUACUGGUUUUAUAGUUUAGUUUAGCAGCUGAACUACUGAGAUGGGCCUGUUGAAAUCAAGGUUUGGUGUUUGUUGCUUCUUUUGUGUGUGUAUUGACAGAAAAAUUAUAACCAAGUGUAUAUGUAGUGUGAGUGGGAAGGAUUGGGCCACGGUGAAGAUGCAUUAGAUGUGCUGGGAAGAGUGGUUUAUGAUAGAAAAGUAUGGCAUGUCGCUGUGCUCUUGCCUGCAAAACUAGAGGUAUUGGAUUCCACAGAUUCCUUGGGGAUGACUGUGCCAGGGAAGUGAUACAAGAAAAGGCCAGCAUCCGAACAACAUGGGGUUAACUUAGAUCCAAGAUGAGGAACAAUGUGUUGCAAGAUAACAGGAACAGCCAGUAUGUGAAAACAGGAAAUACAUUGUCUGUAAGACCAAUCACUCAAGAACUGGUUCUUACUAGCCCUGUGGUGCAACUUAGGAGGAGCAAUCCCCCUUGCACCUGGCGCCAUAAUAAACAUACCUGCUUUACAGCUCUCCUUGAGUUGUAGAGUCUGUUUCCAUGCAUCAGAAGUGUCUUUCAAAAAGCACGUUUCUGAUUUAAUGAAGAGAGUAUGAAUCUGCAGAGGCAGGAGCAGAAGGAGGUGUCAAGAAGAUACUAAGUUUUGUUUCAGAGCAGUUUACAACUCCUAGGAGCUCAUCAUAGGGUUCUGUGAUGUUUGCUGUGUUGUAUGCGUUUCCAGUUGGAAGAUUAAACUGCUUCAAACUUGUUUUUACAGGGGAAGAGCACUCUUAAGCUGUUGUGACAGAAGAAGAUGGGGCUAAAUUCCACACAUGAAUUGUAGGAGUAACUGAUUAGAACUUUCUAAUUUUUACUUAGGGUAGGGUAGAUCUGUCUAACGUUAUGCAUUUGAUACCUUUCAUGAGCAAUAGUAUUACUGGUUAUCAAGCAGAGAUAGCAAAUGCUAAUUUUAGUCUGGAUCUUAAUCUCACUUUAGAAUUAACAGAAAUGAACUUUACUAAAAAAAAAGCUCAGCCUAAAUGAAAGAUUCUGCAGCCCAUCUGUCCUUAUUACAAAAUAGUGCUGGAAUGUAGCUUGCUGUGCCUAAGAUUAGCCUUGAUUGCUUCUGCAUAAAUGCAGCUAGGAUGACUAGCUUGAUUUGUGCUGCUUUUAGGGAUCUUCCACUGCUCCUGUUUUUGGGCUGUUGCAAAGUCUUAAGCAAUUCUAAUAAUGUUCUUGGUAGUUUCAUGGCUGUGUUGUGCUCUGUUAUGUGGCUGAUGUUGCCACAGUACUAUUGGAUCCAGUCGUGGGUGUAUUUAGUGGUGGUGCUUCUGCUGUUCAGGUGUGUUAGAAAGGUGGCUGCAAGGAGUACACUGCAUGAGCUGAAGGUAAGUUUGUGAAGUCUAGAGAAUGAAUGUGAUAUCUACAAUGUAAAUCAGUCAAAUGUAUAAAUAAGUUAAUAAAGAGACAUUGACUUUGA